UUACAUUAACUGCGGUGUGAAGUCUGCUUACCUCUUUUACAAAUUACUACUGCACUGAACUCCAUAUUACUCCUCUGGACAGGAUGUGCCACUGUCAGCAGCACAAAGGAGGCAGUAGUGUAUAAAGGUGGAGAGCCUUCAUUAUGUCUUCCUGUGUUAGCUCUGUAUUUCCUGUUUAUCCAAAAAAAGGAAAGAAAGAAAAGAAAAAAAAAUAAUAUAGUUGCAGCUGAUUGGAUUAAAACUGAACUAGAAUUUUGAAAGAUGCUUACUGAACAACUACUGGUCUUGAUUUUGGCUGGUCUUGUCAGACUUUCAGCAUCAAAGCUGUCCAGAACUGUAUUUCAUAGGACGUCCACAAGAAUUUCUGAAAAAACUCCAAUGGAAAACAAAGGUUUACAUUAUAUUGUGCUGACGACAUCAGGUCUCCAUGACAGCUUAUGGGUAAGUAUCAUAUAACACAGGCCAGCUCUCACUUCCUCUAUCUCUCCCUCUCACAGUGAAACUUGUUACAGAAUCUCUGAUUAUUGUGAUUUCAGGUACCAGACACCUAGAACAAGAUGGUCCGUUGCGUGUUUGUGAAACAGGACGAGGGAAAGAGAAUAAAAGCAACAAGAAAAAAUGUUAAUGUGUUUGA
ensembl:lncRNA